rnacentral:lncRNA from 1 species
UUCCCCAUCAGUUCAUAACUUUAGAUUUACUCAAAAUGAAUGGCAAUCCAUGCUAGUAAUUUCCUCAUUUGCCUAAAGUAUUUACUAGUAGUAGAGUAAAAUCUUUGACUAUUCUCCAUAGGUUUUUCAUUUGGGCAAAUACUACUUUCAAUAUGACAUUAUAGAAACAGCUGGAUAUUUCAGUUCAUAAAGUGUUUUUGAAAUAGACAAAAGAGUAAAUUUUGGAGUGGGCCCAUUUUGCUCUCUUUUUAUAGGAAAUGGACAUAGACUUAUUCUCCUUUCACUGGUAGCAUGACCUACAUAAAUUGUGUGUGGCUGUGAUUUUCUCAUUUUCCCCAGUGAGACGGAAAAAGUUCCCCUCCCCCAUUGCCCUCCUGCUGCCACAAAAGGGGAAAAAAUGAUCACAGGAGCUUUGAAUACAAUUUUUUUGAGCUUGUUUUUUUUCCUCACCUUAGGUGACCAGAUCGAUAGACCAUCCAGCAGCUGAGAAAAUAUCAGAUGACUGGCAUACAGCCAGAGGCAGUUUCUGUUGUGCAGUGAGAGUCCAUUCUGAUAUCACAAAAUUGGAAAUAAAUGGAACUAUGCCAAAAUUCUCUCUUCAAAGAAGAAAAAUAAGAGGCAUAAAUAUUGGCUUGAAAUACGAUAGAAUGCAAGAACUUUUGCUUUGGCAGUAGAACAGUUUUAUAAGAAUUGAGGCUAAUUUCAUAAUCUUUAGCAAUGCAGAUAUGUAUCUUUAGUCUCAUGAAGAUUGUAAUUCCUUGCCAAGGUUCAUGGUGGAUUCUAUUAACAGACUGAAAAUAUUCAGCAUCUACACAAAGAGACAGAUCUGUUCGUAGACAACUAAAUCUUAUUAAGAGAAGAAAUUUGAACCCUUUAACCAGCAGUGGGCCUCUACCUACGGUCUAAUGCGACCUGGUGGCAU